GACGAACGCUGGCGGCGUGCCUAAUACAUGCAAGUUGAGCGCUGAAGGUUGGUACUUGUACCAACUGGAUGAGCAGCGAACGGGUGAGUAACGCGUGGGGAAUCUGCCUUUGAGCGGGGGACAACAUUUGGAAACGAAUGCUAAUACCGCAUAAAAACUUUAAACACAAGUUUUAAGUUUGAAAGAUGCAAUUGCGUCACUCAAAGAUGAUCCCGCGUUGUAUUAGCUAGUUGGUGAGGUAAAGGCUCACCAAGGCGAUGAUACAUAGCCGACCUGAGAGGGUGAUCGGCCACAUUGGGACUGAGACACGGCCCAAACUCCUACGGGAGGCAGCAGUAGGGAAUCUUCGGCAAUGGACGAAAGUCUGACCGAGCAACGCCGCGUGAGUGAAGAAGGUUUUCGGAUCGUAAAAACUUCUGUUGGUAGAGAAAGAAA
rnacentral:rRNA from 1 species